GUUGGAAGAGACUGUGAGAGAUGAGGGGAUGAGGGGAAAAGGGGCUGGCCUUGAAUAUCAGGCUAAGCGCUAUGAUCUUUUGACUCCAAACUCAAUGUAGUCUGGACUACAUUGUAGAAUGUUAAGAGUUCUGGGAUCUUAGAAGCCAUCUCGUCAAACCCCUUCCUUUUUCAGAAGAUGGAGCUGAGGCCCAGAGAGGAGAAGAGACUUACUUGCCUGAGGUCACACAGUUAAUUAAUGCUUCCUCUUGGGUCCAGCUUCUAAAGAGGCAGAGGGAUUCCUUCCGAAAUAUCCAUUUUCUGCAGAAUGACUCCUAGCAUUAUUGCCAAAUAGUCGAGCCUGUCUCCAGGGCAGCUCUGGCUUCCCAAGACCAAUCAGAGCUUUGCUUCCAGCUUUUAUGUCGUCUUUUCCCAAGCUAAUCCAUCUGGCCCCUGCCCUGGCCCUGCCAGGGCCCCAUAAAUCCCUUUCCCUGCCCUUUCGCACCUAAUCCAAGAGCUCUCCUAAGGGGAGGAGUCAUAGCUAUGCCCACUCCAUUGGCUCUGCGCAGGGCUUCUCCAGCCGUCAUGCCACUGGACAGGUAAAGUGAAGGUGGCAGACAGAUCCAUGAGCUGAGCUCAGCGACACGGGCACGUUUCUCUUUUACAACCUGAAUCUCUAAAUCACCCGUGUCUCUCGGCAAGCUGAGGAUGUGGCGAGAAGCUGUUAAUAAUAGAUACAAGUUUCUGUCUGGGAACGAAUUGCUUAAGACGGUCCCGGUGGACGUUUGUCUUUGUCACGGAGAAAACCACCGUGGAGGGGAAGAGUCUGGCCUGAAGGGGGCAGUGUCUCUCUAGUUUGGGCAGCAACCAUUGGCAAGAGGAGAGAAUUCAGAGCUGGAAGAACCCCCAGAAAAUAAUGGAGCCCACUUUCUCUUUUUACAGAGGGGGAAACAGAGGCCCAAAGGUUAGGACAGGUUUGCCCAAGGUGACACACUAAGAGGCAGAGCCAGGAUUUGUGGUAUAGUGGAAAUUGGAAAGAACGCUGGGAAAGAUCCUGCUUCGAAUCCCAGCUCUGUCGCUUGCUUUCUGGGUGUUUUGGGGACAAGUCAUUUGACUUCUCUGGAACUGGACUUGUUCAUCUGAAAAAUAAAGAAGAGACCAGUGGACUGCA
rnacentral:lncRNA from 1 species